AAUGACACAAUAUAUUGAAGACAUCAAAAAGAGUUUGAUAUUUCAUUGCACAAUAAAAAUGAGUCAAUAUAUUGCGCAAUAAUAUUGAUCGUGUAGGGUCCACUUUACUCAAGUCUGCGCAUGUAACUCGUGACGUCACGCGCCGACCUGCCAGUGCCCAAUUUAUUAAAAAGUAAGGUCUAAAAGUAAACAGUUGCGCUUGUGACGGGCGAGGUGGUGGGUGUGUAGCGGCGGGAUUGCUACAAACUCGAAUGAUGGUUCUGAGCUACACAUCAAGUGCCCACUUUGGGAAGAGGAAGAAGAAGAAGAAGAGAUAAAAAAGACGCACAGAGUGAAAGAGACAGCGCUUACAAGCAUCAAGUCUACCGGAGCCUCGGAGUCCUCCCCAAAUAAGGAACCGUUUUGAAGAGAAAGUGAAUGAUGCACUCGAGCACAGUUUCGUGAAAGGAGUGUUUUUUCGUCCCGGAAGUGGGGGACGCGGGUCAGCUUCAUCCUGCGGAGGAAGAAAGUUAACAGCGUAGCGGGUGGCAGACUAGCCUCCAGGUUCGCUCUUCUCGGAAUGCAAAGAAAAGGAGAAGGUUGAAGCAAAUUCAGGGAAAGGAAGUCGUGUGUCGCAAGCAGCUGUAGACGAAUGUUUGCAGCGAGGUGAAGGGUGCUGCUGAGUUCUGAAUGACGGAAAUGCAAAACAGAAAAGGAUUAACCAACACACCUCAUGAAAAAAAAAAAGACCCUUGAAAACUAAAGGCAUACACAUGAGUGAAAACGAAAAGUAAGUGCCAAGAAGCUGCAGAGAAAGAAGGACCAAGACAAAGAGAACUAGAUGAAGUGUUUAAAGAUACAGGACAUGACUUCAGAGGACAAAAGUCUCAGGAAAUGCAGGAGUCACUAUCAUCAUCACCACGACAUUACUGAGUGUGCUAUUAAAAACACCAUACGUGAGUGGAAAAACAAAAACAAAAAAACAAGGGAUUACUAUGAGAAACUAAGAAAUAAUAGCCUAUAUUACCACCAUAAAUAAAAAGAAAAAGAAAAAAACACAGCAGCAAAAUACAAAUAUAUGUAAAAAGUAAAGACGAAUGAAAAAAAAAAAAGUGGAAGAAGAGAAGGAAGCAAUACCCGCAGCGCCACAAGCAGUAAUAUAAUGACAAACACAAUCAUCAGUCAUGCGUGACCGAGACCAUCGGUGAUGCGACGGGAACUGGGAAGAGAGGGGAGGCGACGGUAGCGGCGGCGGCCUUCUAAAUUGUGUUUUCUCGGCGCCCGGAACCAAUAUCUUGAGGCGCGACACGCUCACCUCCGCCAGAUACUCGUACAUGAAAACAAGGGAAGGCUGCGCUGCUGACAUUAAAAAAUUCACCAGUUAGACGUGUUAUAUUUUUUCCCAAUACUGAUCUGUGCUGGCUUAUCUCUUAACUGUUCUGUCCUGUCUUCUAUUGUGCCAUCCUAUUCUUUUUACUUAUAACGUAUGGUAGUAUCAUAUAGUAUACAAAAGAUUACCAAUUUGCCUCUUAUUUUUACUGGGACUGAGUUGUGUUGGCCAAUUUUUUCUUAAAUAUUUUGCUUUACCUUUUGCUGUGUUAGUAUAAUCAAACAACUUACUAAGUACCUAAGCGUCUAUUGAUCUUGUAACUGUUUUGCCGUAUAUUUUUUAUAUGUUAAUAAUUCUUUUACUGGUUGUUAUUGAAUAGUAAUAUAAGCAAACAGCUUUCAAAGGACCUAAGCGUGUAUUACUGUAUGUUUUCUCCUGUGCUUCUUUAAAAAGAAUCAAAAUGCUAAUUAUACCAAGCUAGUAGCAAUUAUUAACUUCAUUUCGUGCCUGCAUUCUCCAAUAUAUUAGUUACUCGUGGCAUAUUCGAGUGGGUUUCAUGGCCAGGACUGAGGCUAUUCCAGCGGUCUAUGUCUACAGGAACUCUGGAAUUAUUGUUAGGUCACGGAAAGGAUUACUGGAUGGAACGCCUCUUCGUCAGUAUCAGUCCAAUACAGCAGUCUCUUCAUCUGUCAGCUCCCUAGUUCAAUUAAAUCAGAUAGUCAGUCAGUCAGUAUAUUACGGACUUCAUCAGUCGACCGGUCAGUCAGGAAUUCAGUCAGUUGGUGCGAUAAACUCUCACUCAAUCAGUCCAUCAGUCAGUCAUUGUGGUAGUCUUUUUAUUCAAGCUGUUAGUAGGUUAGUUAAUCAAUCAGUACAGCAGUCUCUUAACCAUUCAGUCAGUCAUUCUGGUAGUCUUUUGCUCAGACAGGUAUUCAAUGAGUGUGGUAGCCUCUUCCUGAGUCGAUCAGUCAUUCAGUCAUUAUAGCAGGUUCUUAGUCAGUCGGUCAGUCAGUCAAUUAAUAAGUCAGUCAUUGUCGGUCAGUUCAGUAGUCUCUUAAUCAAACAGUUGCUCACUCAGUCGAUUAGUAAGCCAGUGUCAGUCAAUGUGGCACUAUCAGUCAUCUAGUCAGUCAGUUAGUCAGUCAGUCAGUCAGUCAGUCAGUCAGUCAGUCAGUCAGUCACUGAGUCAACCAAUCAGUCAGUCAAUCUUUCAGUCAGUCACUCAACCAGUUAAUCAGUCAUUCAGUCAGUCAGUCAGACAGUCAGUGGUGCAGUCUCUCCAUCAGUCAUUUAGCUCGGUGUUCAAAAAUACCCUUCCUUUUCGUUUUUCCACCGCACUGAGUAAAGCAGAAAGUGACCCCGGCAAACAAAAAAAAAAAAAAAUACUGCCAGCUUUUCGUAAUGAAAGAGAAUUAUUUGCUGUUUCAGGUGAGUUCUCUUAAUUGGGAAGGUGUGCACGAGUUUGUGAAGGCGUGAGAACAUUAUAAUUAGGCCAUCUGAUGAUGGAGGGCAGCUGAUGAUAGAAGGCGACGUAAAAAAAAAAAAAAAAAGAAAGCUUAUAUAAUAAAAUACUGCAACGUUAGAAAAUAAAACUGUUAUAUUUAUAAAAGUCUCAAAUGAGAAAAAUAUUGGUGGGAUUUAUAAUAACAGAGAUAAAGGAGUAAAAUAACAGAAUUGUAAAGGAAAA